rnacentral:rRNA from 1 species
AUGGAGGGAUCCUUCCCCGCCUCUUCCUUACACCCCCCCGCCGUAGCACCCGCCACCACCCGCUGUGCCCCAUGGGUUCUUCUUGACAGUAGGGCCUACUUUGCCGUCUGCAAGAACGCCACCACCGCUGAAGCCACCACCAGCACCAGUCACAUGGUCAAGGUCAGUUUCUGCCUCUCAGAUCCGCCGGCAAUCUCACACUUUUGCGUCUUUGGCCCCGAGUUGAAGCACGAAGAUUUCAUGAUGGAACCCCUGGUUCUCUUCUCGGCGAAGGACCUCGUACUCCUCCGCCUCGCCUUCACCGUCGGUCCACGAAGCACCCAUAAGGAUUCUCGUCUCGCCGAGUACUUUCUCUACAAGGCUGGUCGUGGCAAGCCGUCGCUCGAACCGAUCCCGGUUACUCCACCAGGCACCAGGAACUCGUUCCACAUCUGCGUCCUGCCGUCCGACGACGACGAUGGGGAAUUUGUCAUCGCGGAUCUCUGCAUGACAAAUCCCCGUUCGGACUACGAGCUUCAUGUCUUCUCUUCCAAGACUGGCAAGUGGACCACCAAGCAGUUGCGGUUACAGGCAUCUCCCGUAGUAAAGAAAGAAGACCUGCCUGGCCCAUCACUCGACAAGGUGAUUGCGCUUGGAGGAGGUGCUGUAGGCUGGAUCGACCUCUGGCGGGGUAUCAUCAGCUGCAACGUGUUUGACAAGAACCCCGUUCUAAGUUUCACCCCAGUGCCCAUGCUUGAAGAAAACGAGCGACAUGAAGGUAACCCACGCCUGUUCAGGGACAUCACCUGCUCCAAUGGUGUCAUCAAGUUUGUAGAGUUGGAUCUUCGUUUCAAAAAGGUUGCUGUUCACAACAUCAAGACUCGCAAGACGACAAAGGAUCUUGACAGCGUAGAUAUCAUCCAUGAUUCAGAGCUGCUCUUCCACAAAGAUGAUUCAUGUACCGACCCUGUGGAAUAUACUCUUGUUGAUGAUGGUUGGAAGCUCCGGACAUGUUAUAGGCAUACUUCCUGGGACUAUUGGCGCAAGGGGCACACUGUUGAUAUUGAUGACAUCUUGGCUGACAAUACUGAUCACUCUAUGUUGCUCCCACAACUGUGGGAUGCUAAAGCUGGGAAAUCAACAUUGAGAAAUCUGUAUUCGGCUUACCCAACCCUGGGCAUUGACGGUGGCAACAUUGUUUACCUGAUGUCUAAGGUUGUUUAUAAUGAUGAGAAUGCAUGGAUGAUUGGUGUUGACCUUGAAAUUAAGGCAGUGGAAGUACUCGUACCAGUCUCUUCUGAGAGAGUCUGUUUAUUCAAGCCAGACUUCCUCCCCUGUACAUUCUCCAAAUAUCUUGAUGCAACUCCAAGGUCAUGUGCAGAGGAAGUCAUCCCUACUGCAAAUGUGGUUCAGAAAUCUCUACUUAAUGAUCAUGUUUCAUCAGGCAAUUUUUCUCUAAAUAAGCUGUCACCGCUGCAGGAUACACGGCAGUGCUAUGGGGGUUCGACUGAAUAUGCUGGUCCAUACGCAGGCUACCGCAACUAUCAGCAGCAUUUAACCGCAGGUAAUGGCACUGAAGCUGAUUGCUGUAUGGGGCUUUUCCAUUUCUGUUUUUCGUCCAUGUGUUCUUCUAUUGUACUCGUGAUAUUCAACUCUUAA